rnacentral:tRNA from 13 species
ACCACCAUAGCUCAGAGGUUAGAGCACUGGUCUCGUAAACCAGGUCGCGAGUUCGAAUCUCGCUGGUGAAG